UACGUAGGGGCCUAGCGUUGUCCGGAUUUAUUGGGCGUAAAGAGCUCGUAGGCGGUUUGGUGAGUCGGGUGUGAAAUCUCCACGCUCAACGUGGAGGAGCCACCCGAUACUGCCAUGACUGGAGUCCGGUAGGGGAGUGUGGAAUUCCCGGUGUAGCGGUGAAAUGCGUAGAUAUCAGGAAGAACACCCGUGGCGAAGGCGGCUCUCUGGAACGCAACUGACGCUGAGACGCGAAAGCGUGGGGAGCAAACAGG
rnacentral:rRNA from 1 species